rnacentral:rRNA from 1 species
AUUGAACGCUGGCGGCAGGCCUAACACAUGCAAGUCGAGCGGAGCGGCGGACGGGUGAGUAAUGCGUAGGAAUCUGCCUGGUAGUGGGGGAUAACGUCAGGAAACGGGCGCUAAUACCGCAUACUAUCAGAUAAGCCUAGGUCGGAUUAGCUAGUUGGUGGGGUAAAGGCCUACCAAGGCGACGAUCCGUAACUGGUCUGAGAGGAUGAUCAGCCACACUGGAACUGAGACACGGUCCAGACUCCUACGGGAGGCAGCAGUGGGGAAUAUUGGACAAUGGGCGCAAGCCUGAUCCAGCCAUGCCGCGUGUGUGAAGAAGGUCUUCGGAUUGUAAAGCACUUUAAGUUGGGAGGCGUUACCAACAGAAUAAGCACCGGCUAACUUCGUGCCAGCCGCCGCGGUAAUUC